UGGGGAAUCUUGCGCAAUGGGCGAAAGCCUGACGCAGCAACGCCGCGUGUGUGAUGAAGGUCUUCGGAUCGUAAAGCACUGUCGCGAGGGAAGAUACGCCGGCUGAUAACACCAGUCGGCUAAGACGGUACCUCGAGAGGAAGCACCGGCUAACUCUGUGCCAGCAGCCGCGGUAAUACAGAGGGGGCAAGCGUUAUUCGGAAUUAUUGGGCGUAAAGGGCGCGUAGGCGGUGUCUUGAGUGAGAUGUGUAAUCCCCGAGCUUAACUUGGGAACUGCAUCUCAGACUGGGACGCUAGAGUGCUGGAGAGGGUGGUGGAAUUCCACGUGUAGCGGUGAAAUGCGUAGAGAUGUGGAGGAACACCAGUGGCGAAGGCGGCCACCUGGACAGUAACUGACGCUGAGGCGCGAAAGUGUGGGCAGCAAACAGG
rnacentral:rRNA from 1 species